UACAGAGGGUGCAAGCGUUGUUCGGAAUCAUUGGGCGUAAAGGGCGUGUAGGCGGUCUGUUAAGUCAUGUGUGAAAUCCCUCGGCUCAACCGGGGAACGACGCAUGAAACUGGCAAGCUAGAGUACCAAAGAGGGGGGUGGAAUUCCCGGUGUAGAGGUGAAAUUCGUAGAUAUCGGGAGGAACACCGGUGGCGAAGGCGGCGACCUGGGUAGAUACUGACGCUGAGGUGCGAAAGCGUGGGGAGCAAACAGG
rnacentral:rRNA from 1 species